rnacentral:rRNA from 1 species
GCAUAUCAAUAAGCGGAGGAAAAGAAACUAACAAGGAUUCCCCUAGUAACUGCGAGUGAAGCGGGAAAAGCUCAAAUUUAAAAUCUGACGGUCUUUUGGUCGUCCGAGUUGUAAUCUAGAGAAGUGUUAUCCGCGUUGGACCGUGUACAAGUCUCCUGGAAUGGAGCGUCAUAGAGGGUGAGAAUCCCGUCUUUGACACGGACUACCAGUGCUUUGUGAUGCGCUCUCAAAGAGUCGAGUUGUUUGGGAAUGCAGCUCAAAAUGGGUGGUAAAUUCCAUCUAAAGCUAAAUAUUGGCGAGAGACCGAUAGCGAACAAGUACCGUGAGGGAAAGAUGAAAAGAACUUUGGAAAGAGAGUUAAACAGUACGUGAAAUUGCUGAAAGGGAAACGCUUGAAGUCAGUCGCGUUGUCCGGGAAUCAACCUUGCUUUUGCUGGGUGUACUUUCCGGUUGACGGGUCAGCAUCAAUUUUGACCGUUGGAUAAAGUGUAGGGGAAUGUGGCAUCUUCGGAUGUGUUAUAGCCCUUGCUCGCAUACAACGGUUGGGAUUGAGGAACUCAGUACGCCGCAAGGCCGGGAAUUUAUUCUACGUUCGUACUUAGGAUGCUGGCAUAAUGACUUUAAUCGACCCGUCUUGAAACACGGACCAAGGAGUCUAACAUGCCUGCGAGUGUUUGGGUGGAAAACCCGAGCGCGUAAUGAAAGUGAAAGUUGAGAUCCCUGUCGUGGGGAGCAUCGACGCCCGGACCAGACCUUUUGUGACGGAUCUGCGGUAGAGCAUGUAUGUUGGGACCCGAAAGAUGGUGAACUAUGCCUGAAUAGGGUGAAGCCAGAGGAAACUCUGGUGGAGGCUCGUAGCGAUUCUGACGUGCAAAUCGAUCGUCAAAUUUGGGUAUAGGGGCGAAAGACUAAUCGAACCAUCUAGUAGCUGGUUCCUGC